rnacentral:tRNA from 2 species
GCCGGGGUGGCGAAACUGGUAGACGCGUUGGAUUCAAAAUCCAAUUGGGGUGACUCAGUGUCGGUUCGAUUCCGACCCUCGGUACCA